rnacentral:rRNA from 1 species
CCUACGGGGGGCUGCAGUAAGGAAUAUUGCGCAAUGGGCGAAAGCCUGACGCAGCGACGCCGCGUGGGGGAUGAAGGUCUUCGGAUUGUAAACCCCUUUCGGGAGGGAAGAUGGAGCGAGCAAUCGUUCGGACGGUACCUCCAGAAGCAGCCACGGCCAACUUCGUGCCAGCAGCCGCGGUAAUACGAAGGUGGCAAGCGUUGUUCGGAUUCACGGGGCGUACGGGGAGUGUGGGCGGUUUGGUAAGGGUUAAAGGUUCGGGUCCAACCCGGAAAGCGCAGAGGGUACUGCCAGGCUAGAGGGUGGGAGAGGAGCGCGGGAUUCCCGGUGUAGCGGUGAAAUGCGUAGAGAUCGGGAGGAAGGCCGGUGGCGAAGGCGGCGCUCUGGAACAUACCUGACGCUGAGACACGAAAGCGUGGGGAGCAAACAGGAUUAGAUACCCCAGUAGUC